rnacentral:rRNA from 1 species
UAGAGUUUGAUCCUGGCUCAGAUUGAACGCUGGCGGCAGGCUUAACACAUGCAAGUCGAGCGGAGAUGAGGUGCUUGCACCUUAUCUUAGCGGCGGACGGGUGAGUAAUGCUUAGGAAUCUGCCUAUUAGUGGGGGACAACAUUCCGAAAGGAAUGCUAAUACCGCAUACGUCCUACGGGAGAAAGCAGGGGAUCUUCGGACCUUGCGCUAAUAGAUGAGCCUAAGUCGGAUUAGCUAGUUGGUGGGGUAAAGGCCUACCAAGGCGACGAUCUGUAGCGGGUCUGAGAGGAUGAUCCGCCACACUGGGACUGAGACACGGCCCAGACUCCUACGGGAGGCAGCAGUGGGGAAUAUUGGACAAUGGGGGAACCCUGAUCCAGCCAUGCCGCGUGUGUGAAGAAGGCCUUAUGGUUGUAAAGCACUUUAAGCGAGGAGGAGGCUACUGAGACUAAUACUCUUGGAUAGUGGACGUUACUCGCAGAAUAAGCACCGGCUAACUCUGUGCCAGCAGCCGCGGUAAUACAGAGGGUGCGAGCGUUAAUCGGAUUUACUGGGCGUAAAGCGUGCGUAGGCGGCUUUUUAAGUCGGAUGUGAAAUCCCCGAGCUUAACUUGGGAAUUGCAUUCGAUACUGGGAAGCUAGAGUAUGGGAGAGGAUGGUAGAAUUCCAGGUGUAGCGGUGAAAUGCGUAGAGAUCUGGAGGAAUACCGAUGGCGAAGGCAGCCAUCUGGCCUAAUACUGACGCUGAGGUACGAAAGCAUGGGGAGCAAACAGGAUUAGAUACCCUGGUAGUCCAUGCCGUAAACGAUGUCUACUAGCCGUUGGGGCCUUUGAGGCUUUAGUGGCGCAGCUAACGCGAUAAGUAGACCGCCUGGGGAGUACGGUCGCAAGACUAAAACUCAAAUGAAUUGACGGGGGCCCGCACAAGCGGUGGAGCAUGUGGUUUAAUUCGAUGCAACGCGAAGAACCUUACCUGGCCUUGACAUACU